rnacentral:sRNA from 1 species
GCCGGGCAUGGUGGUGCAUGCCUGUAAUCCCAGCAGCCCUGGAGGCUGAGGCAGGAGGAUCACGAAUUCAAAGCCAGUCUCAG